AUUGAACGCUGGCGGCAUGCCUUACACAUGCAAGUCGAACGGCAGCACGGGAGCUUGCUCCUGGUGGCGAGUGGCGAACGGGUGAGUAAUACAUCGGAACGUACCCAGUAGUGGGGGAUAACGCACCGAAAGGUGCGCUAAUACCGCAUACGACCUACGGGUGAAAGCGGGGGACCGUAAGGCCUCGCGCUAUUGGAGCGGCAGAUGUCUGAUUAGCUAGUUGGCGGGGUAAAAGCCCACCAAGGCGACGAUCAGUAGCUGGUCUGAGAGGACGAUCAGCCACACUGGGACUGAGACACGGCCCAGACUCCUACGGGGGGCAGCAGUGGGGAAUUUUGGACAAUGGGGCAACCCUGAUCCAGCCAUGCCGCGGGUGCGAAGAAGGCCUUCGGGUCGUAAAGCACUUUUGUCAGGGAAGAAAUCUUUCAGGCUAAUACCCUUGGAAGGAUGACGGUACCUGAAGAAUAAGCACCGGCUAACUACGUGCCAGCCGCCGCCGUAA
rnacentral:rRNA from 1 species